rnacentral:rRNA from 1 species
AUUGAACGCUGGCGGCAUGCCUUACACAUGCAAGUCGAACGGUAACAGGUCUUCGGAUGCUGACGAGUGGCGAACGGGUGAGUAAUACAUCGGAACGUGCCUAGUAGUGGGGGAUAACUACUCGAAAGAGUGGCUAAUACCGCAUGAGAUCUACGGAUGAAAGCAGGGGAUCGCAAGACCUUGCGCUACUAGAGCGGCCGAUGGCAGAUUAGGUAGUUGGUGGGAUAAAAGCUUACCAAGCCGACGAUCUGUAGUUGGUCUGGGAGGACGAUCAGCCUCACUGGGACUGAGACACGGCCCAGACUCCUACGGGAGGCAGCAGUGGGGAAUUUUGGACAAUGGGCGCAAGCCUGAUCCAGCAAUGCCGCGUGCAGGAAGAAGGCCUUCGGGUUGUAAACUGCUUUUGUACGGAACGAAACGGUCUGGGUUAAUACCCUGGGCUAAUGACGGUACCGUAAGAAUAAGCACCGGCUAACUACGUGCCAGCAGCCGCAGUAACAC